AUUUCAUUUAUUACCUUAAAUAAACCAAACUAUUUUAGUCUUCUACUGCAGGAUAGCCUUUCUGUUUGCCUAAUCAUCCUAAUGUCACCUUUAUGUUCAUUUUUGCAGAUAUUACACUUCCAGUUUAAACUGUCCAGAUGUAUACUGUUUAAAAUAUGCAUGCUUCUCUUAUUCAUCUGAGCACUCCAGCUGUGAAAAUCCAGGCACAUGUUAUCAGGAUGAUCCAGGCAGUCUUUGAUGGAGUAGGACAAGAAGUCAGUCUGCUUCCACAGGUCAAACAAAAUGGAGAAACAUCAUAUUCACACUCUGGGCAGAAAAAUCUUUGUGAGGUGAAGGUGCUCUGAUCUUUGGCAUAGUCUAAUAUAACUUGCUUUGAUCCCCAAUAGCCACAGUCAAUUUUCCAGCACGGUGAUACACCAUGGAAGAGUCUGUACAGGUAGGAGGAGUUAGAAGUGGGUUUGGGGAGUGUAAAUUGUAAAUGAAAUUGGCCAAAUCAUAUUCAAGUUUGGAGGAGUGAAUUUGUGGGGAGACCAAGGACUGCCACAAGUCAUGCUCUUGUAAAGAGGAGAUGAAAGAAGCGGAGAGGUGAUAUAAGACCUGAGCAGAUUCAGACUCAUCUGAGCACCACAGAAGGUCUGCACGAGGAGAAAAGUCCAUCAGGACUGUUGUUUCUUUUGCUUUUCUCCUUGCUUCCUCAAGAAAUCUUCAUUUCAUCUGUGUUUGACAGGGUGGACCUGGCAGGCAGUAUGGCAAUUCUGUUUCUGCUACUGCAGGUCACAAAGACAAAGAUUGAAUCAGGAGGAAUGGAAAGAAAAUGGGUAAUCUUCUCCCUGCUAUGCAUCCUGAGGAGCUCUUCGUCCAUCAAGAGACAAAUCUCACACUUUGGGAGUCCUUAUGGAUGGUGAUGUCCAUAUACAUAGUUAAACAAACCCUUCCCCCUUUCCAAAACUAGCAGUAGAAGUUAAAAAGGAAUUGAGAGAAAAAUAAAUGUGUCCAGACUCCCA
rnacentral:lncRNA from 1 species